UUAAGUAAGGAAGGGCGUACGGCGAAUGCCUGGCCACUCGAAACUGAAGAAGGACGCGCCAAACUGCGAAAAGCUCCGUGAAGCUGUAAGGAAGCGAAGAAACGGAGGUGUCCGAAUGGGGGAACCCGGCAGCAGACAUGAGCUGUCAUCUGCAGGUGAAUACAUGGCUUGCAAGAGAGGUACCCGGCGAACUGAAACAUCUAAGUAGCCGGAGGAAAAGAAAACAACAGUGAUUCCCUGAGUAGCGGCGAGCGAAAGGGGAGAAGCCCAAACCGGUCCAAGGACCGGGGUUGAAGGACCAUGAUAUGGCAAGAGAGAGGAUAGAAGAACGGGAUCGAAAGCCCGGCCGAAGAAGGUGCAAGCCCUGUAUUUGAAAUCUGAUUGAAGCCUAAUGGGAUCCUGAGUACGGCGAGACACGAGGAAUCUUGUCGGAAGCAGGCGGGACCAUCCGCCAAGGCUAAAUAUAAACGAGUGAGCGAUAGUGAACCAGUACCGUGAGGGAAAGGUGAAAAGAACCGCGGGAGCGGAGUGAAAGAGAACCUGAAACCGUAUGCCUACAAGAAGUCAGAGCCCGUUAAGGGGUGAUGGCGUGCCUUUUGUAGAAUGAACCGGCGAGUUGCGACAGACUGCGAGGUUAAGGAGGAAAGACCGGAGCCGAAGCGAAAGCGAGUCUUAACAGGGCGAAAGUAGGAUGUUGCAGACCCGAAACCGGGUGAUCUAGCCAUGAGCAGGUUGAAGUUGAGGUGAAACUCAAUGGAGGACCGAACCGACUACCGUUGAAAAGUUAGCGGAUGACUUGUGGCUAGGGGAGAAAUUCCAAUCGAACCCGGAGAUAGCUGGUUCUCCCCGAAAUAGCUUUAGGGCUAGCGUCGGAAAGAACCUUAGUGAAGGUAGAGCACUGAAUGUGUGAUGGCCCCAUCCCGGGGUACUGAAUACAAUCAAACUGCGAAUGUCAUUAAGGAUGUCCGGCAGUCAGACUGUGAGUGAUAAGGUCCAUGGUCAAGAGGGAAACAGCCCAGACCGCCAGUUAAGGUCCCAAAAUACAGGCUAAGUGGAAAAGGAUGUGGGGAUGCCCAGACAACUAGGAGGUUGGCUCAGAAGCAGCCAUCCUUUAAAGAGUGCGUAACAGCUCACUAGUCGAGUGACCCUGCGCCGAAAAUGUACCGGGGCUAAGCCUGAUACCGAAACUGCGGAUUGUAGGAAACUAUAGUGGUAGGGGAGCGUUGUAUACGAGUAGAAGCCGUACCGUGAGGAGCGGUGGAUUGUAUAGAAGUGAGAAUGCCGGUGUGAGUAGCGAGAUGUAGGUGAGAAUCCUACACACCGAAAGCCCAAGGAUUCCAGGGGAAGGUUCGUCCGCCCUGGGUAAGUCGGGACCUAACGCGAGGCCGAAAGGCGUAGUGGAUGGAAAGCAGGCGAAAGAUUCCUGCACCCGUAUAUGGAGCGAAGGAGUGACGGAGACGGAUAGUGUGACCCUCUUAAUGGAUUGAGGGCGAAGCGAAGCGGCUGGUUACCAGGCAAAUCCGGUAACUGAAAGGCUAGAGCGUGACAGGCAAGCGAAAUCUUAGGAAAGUAGCGAAGCACAUGAUGACGGCUUCCAGGAAAAGCUUCUGGCAAUGCAUAUGCGGCCCGUACCAAAACCGACACAGGUGGGCAGGGAGAGAAUCCCGAGGUGAGCGAGAGAACUGUUGCCAAGGAACUCGGCAAAAUGACUCCGUAAGUUAGCGAGAAGGAGUGCUUAAGCAAUUAAGCCGCAGUGAAGAGGCCCAAGCGACUGUUUAACUAAAACACAGCUCUCUGCGAAGUCGCAAGACGAAGUAUAGGGGGUGACACCUGCCCGGUGCUGGAAGGUUAAGAGGAUCUGUUAAGAGCGAUCUGAAGCAGUGAUCCGAAGCCCCAGUGAACGGCGGCCGUAACUAUAACGGUCCUAAGGUAGCGAAAUUCCUUGUCAGGUAAGUUCUGACCCG
rnacentral:rRNA from 1 species